rnacentral:rRNA from 1 species
GGUCAAGCUACAAAGGGCGCAUGGUGAAUGCCUUGGCAUCAGGAGCCGAUGAAGGACGCGAUAAGCUGCGAUAAGCUUCGGGUAGACGCACAUAGUCAGAGAUCCGAAGAUUUCCGAAUGAGGAAACUCACAUGGGAAACCCCAUGUAUCAUAAAGUGAAUACAUAGCUUUAUGAAGGUAUACCCAGGGAACUGAAACAUCUAAGUACCUGGAGGAAGAGAAAGAAAAAUCGAUUUUCUUAGUAGCGGCGAGCGAAAAGGAAAGAGCCCAAACCAGAGAUUUAUCUCUGGGGUUGCGGACAGAACAUAACGAGAAAUCAUAGUUAAUUGAACACAACUGGAAAGUUGGACCACAGUGGGUAAUAGUCCCGUAAGUGAAAACUAUGAUAAUCAGUUCUGCACCAGAGUACCACGAGACACGUGAAACCUUGUGGGAAGCAGGGAGGACCACCUCCCAAGGCUAAAUACUACCUGAUGACCGAUAGUGAAGCAGUACCGUGAGGGAAAGGUGAAAAGAACCCCGGGAGGGGAGUGAAAUAGAACCUGAAACCAUGUGCCUACAACCGAUCAGAGCACCUUAUGUGUGUGAUGAUGUGCUUUUUGUAGAACGAGCCAACGAGUUACGGUAUGUAGCGAGGUUAAGUACUUAAGGUACGGAGCCGAAGGGAAACCGAGUCUUAAUAGGGCGACUAGUUGCAUGCUGUAGACCCGAAACCGGGUGACCUAUCCAUGGCCAGGUUGAAGCGAGGGUAAAACCUCGUGGAGGACCGAACCACGUUGCUGUUGAAAAAGCAUGGGAUGAGCUGUGGAUAGCGGAGAAAUUCCAAUCGAACUCGGAUAUAGCUGGUUCUCCUCGAAAUAGCUUUAGGGCUAGCGUCGGAAAAUGUGAGUAGUGGAGGUAGAGCACUGAAUAGGCUAGGGGGCAUAGCGCUUACCGAACCUUAUCAAACUCCGAAUGCCACAUACUAUCAGUCCGGCAGUCAGACUAUGAAAGAUAAGUUCCAUGGUCAAAAGGGAAACAGCCCAGAUCGUCAGCUAAGGUCCCAAAGUGUAAGUUAAGUGGAAAAGGAUGUGGGAUUUCUAAGACAACUAGGAUGUUGGCUUAGAAGCAGCCACUCAUUAAAAGAGUGCGUAAUAGCUCACUAGUCAAGAGAUCCUGCGCCGAAAAUGUCCGGGGCUCAAACUUACCACCGAAGCUACGGGUUCACGUUUAACGUGAGCGGUAGAGGAGCGUCGUAAUCGGGCUGAAGUCGUACCGUAAGGAGCGGUGGACUGAUUACGAGUGAGAAUGUUGGCAUUAGUAGCGAGAUGUAGGCGAGAAUCCUACAGGCCGAAUAUCUAAGGUUUCCUGAGUAAAGUUUGUCUUCUCAGGGUUAGUCGGGACCUAAGGCGAGGCCGAAAGGCGUAGUCGAUGGACAAUUGGUUGAUAUUCCAAUACCACUAUAAUCGUUAUUAUCGAUGGUGUGACGGAGAAGGAUAGGAUGUGCUAGCUAUUGGAUGCUAGUCUAAGCGUUUAGGGAGUUGGGAUUGGCAAAUCCGUUCCAACAAUUCUGAGGCGUGAUGGGGAAGGUUCUACGGAACCGAAGUAUCUGAUUCCAUGCUUCCAAGAAAAGCAUCUAGA